rnacentral:rRNA from 1 species
AGCUUGCUCCUUUGCUGACGAGCGGCGGACGGGUGAGUAAUGCUUGGGAACAUGCCUUGAGGUGGGGGACACAGUUGGAAACGACUGCUAAUACCGCAUAAUGUCUACGGACCAAAGGGGGCUUCGGCUCUCGCCUUUAGAUUGGCCCAAGUGGGAUUAGCUAGUUGGUGAGGUAAUGGCUCACCAAGGCGACGAUCCCUAGCUGGUUUGAGAGGAUGAUCAGCCACACUGGGACUGAGACACGGCCCAGACUCCUACGGGAGGCAGCAGUGGGGAAUAUUGCACAAUGGGCGCAAGCCUGAUGCAGCCAUGCCGCGUGUGUGAAGAAGGCCUUCGGGUUGUAAAGCACUUUCAGUCAGGAGGAAAGGUUAGUAGUUAAUACCUGCUAGCUGUGACGUUACUGACAGAAGAAGCACCGGCUAACUCCGUGCCAGCAGCCGCGGUAAUACGGAGGGUGCGAGCGUUAAUCGGAAUUACUGGGCGUAAAGCGUACGCAGGCGGUUUGUUAAGCGAGAUGUGAAAGCCCUGGGCUCAACCUGGGAACUGCAUUUCGAACUGGCAAACUAGAGUGUGAUAGAGGGUGGUAGAAUUUCAGGUGUAGCGGUGAAAUGCGUAGAGAUCUGAAGGAAU